UCAAAGUAAGCCCUCAUCUCUUCUGCCAAUUCCCCUUUAAAAUGUCUGUCCAGCAGUAGUGAGUCGUUUAUUUUCCAGGGGCUACGGUGCUUGAAGUCAUAACUAUCUUUAAGCUCUAGUGUUACCGGGGCAUGAUCAGACCACGUUAUUUGGCCUAUGUCGCAGGACUGCAGUUGGUUCAAAUGAGAACCCGAUAUCAGGAUGUUGUCUAUCCUGGAAUAUGAAUUGUGGACCGGGGAGUAGUGUGUAAAUGCCUUUUCGUCAGGGUGUGUGAUUCUCCAGGUGUCGUACAUGUGGUGCGUGUGUAGGAGUCGUUGUAUGGCCUUGCAUUGUCUUUGCAGAGGUCGG